rnacentral:rRNA from 1 species
AGGACGAACGCUGGCGGCGUGCUUAACACAUGCAAGUCGAGCGGAAAGGCCCUUCGGGGUACUCGAGCGGCGAACGGGUGAGUAACACGUGAGUAAUCUGCCCCUAGCUCUGGGAUAGCUCCGGGAAACCGGGAUUAAUACCGGAUAUGACCACUUUAGACAUCUGCUGUGGUGGAAAGAAUUUCGGCUAGGGAUGAGCUCGCGGCCUAUCAGCUUGUGGUGGGUAACGCUACCAGGCGACGACGGUA